rnacentral:rRNA from 1 species
GAUGAACGCUGGCGGCGUGCCUAAUACAUGCAAGUCGAGCGAACGGACGAGAAGCUUGCUUCUCUGAUGUUAGCGGCGGACGGGUGAGUAACACGUGGAUAACCUACCUAUAAGACUGGGAUAACUUCGGGAAACCGUAGCUAAUACCGGAUAAUAUUUUGAACCGCAUGGUUCAAAAGUGAAAGACGGUCUUGCCGUCACUUAUAGAUGGAUCCGCGCUGCAUUAGCUAGUUGGUAAGGUAACGGCUUACCAAGGCAACGAUGCAUAGCCGACCUGAGAGGGUGAUCGGCCACACUGGAACUGAGACACGGUCCAGACUCCUACGGGAGGCAGCAGUAGGGAAUCUUCCGCAAUAGGCGAAAGCCUGACGGAGCAACGCCGCGUGAGUGAUGAAGGUCUUCGGAUCGUAAAACUCUGUUAUUAGGGAAGAACAUAUGUGUAAGUAACUGUGCACAUCUUGACGGUACCUAAUCAGAAAGCCACGGCUAACUACGUG